AUCACACAUAAUAUUAUGUAUACAUGCACUUAUAAAUCUUAACAAAAACGUUCAGAAUUAGUAAUAAAGUCCUGCACAAGUGAAAAUUUAACAUCAGGAUGUCCAUAUAAAAACCAUUGAAGGCGCAUCGAGGUUGUUUCAUUUGCUAAAGUGGAGCUUUUUUUAUGUAUUUUCCCCUAUGUACAGCUUUGUUAAUAUUUACAAAUAUUUUCUAAUAAUAUUGGGCUAGGGACCUACUAGAAACCCUAACAGGCUUUUUAAUUUAGGCCUCUAUGUUUCAUUAGCAGUGGUUUUAGCCCUAGAACCGAUCGAUGUUCGUCAGUGCCAUCAUUACAGCAGCCAAUCAGAUGCAUGCUAAGGUCCGGUGUCAAGGGAAAUUUCUGACCUUUGCGAAAUACCUGGCCAACCGUGACGGCUCACCUAAAGACAAGCAAAAGCAUUUUAAACGUUAACCAUAUGGCAGAUGAGGCCGCAGAUCUCUGCUUUUUCACAUUCAGAAAGAUAUCUGACUCUGUGUAUUAAUAUUGUAUUAGUAUAGGAAAAAUAUGAUUGAAAAACAGCUUG